rnacentral:misc_RNA from 1 species
AAAGAAAUUAGCAGGUUACCACUCAAAAGAUGAAGUUGAAAAGAAUGUAGUUGAAGCCUCUAAAGAACUUGCCUUCAGUCACGUCAAACUCGGGACUGAAGAAGAGCAUGGGAAGAAAAAGAAGAGAAAGUUUUCCAAGUUGGAGGAGCUUGAACGAGCUAAAAAAUUAGAAGAGGCAAAGAAGGAUCCUGAGAAGGGUGAAACAAUCGCAAAGAAGCAUUCUUGGCAAGCAGCAACGA